rnacentral:lncRNA from 1 species
UAUGGUGCUACCUAGCAAAUCAGCGAAGCCAGUACCCCUUGAUCGUCUGAAAAACAGAUUGAUCUUCCAUGAUGGUCGCUUGGUGCAGCGCCCAACUCCAAUCAACGCGUUAAUCACCUACAUUUGGCUGCCAUUUGGAUUUGCUCUUGGAGUUUUUCGCGUAUACUUCAAUCUCCCUCUUCCAGAGCGCAUUGUUCGUUAUACGUAUGGGAUGGUUGGGAUCAACCUUGUUAUCAAAGGCCCUCGACCACCUGCACCAUCACCAGGAACCCCAGGGAACCUCUACGUGUGUAAUCAUCGUUCAGCCCUCGAUCCAAUUAUCAUUGCUAUUGCACUCGGGAGAAAAGUUUCCACUGUCACAUAUAGUGUAAGCAAGCUCUCCAGAUUCUUGUCACCAAUUCCAGCCAUUGCUU